GGCGGAUGUAGCCAAGUGGAUUAAGGUAGUGGAUUGUGGAUCCACCAUGCGCGGGUUCACGUUCGCCCAUCCAC
rnacentral:tRNA from 1 species